AACCCCGGCAAUGGGAAAAGAGAUACCUUGUUGGUGGUGUUGUUCUGUCAGUCAGGAGCAGAGCAGAUGGCAGCCUUUUGUUCUUCCUAGCUUGAUGCCUGGCUUGAUGGCCAAAGCUGUUUUAUCCCUAGCAUCUACAA